rnacentral:SRP_RNA from 1 species
CUGGCUGCUCGUGUUCUCCCUCCUGGGCCUGUUCCUGCUGUUCGAGGUGGUGAAGCAAC